GUGUCAGCAGCCGCGGUAAUACGGAGGGGGCGAGCGUUGUUCGGAAUCAUUGGGCGUAAAGCGUAUGUAGGCGGCCUGACAAGUCGGGCGUGCAAGCCCGGGGCUCAACCCCGGAAUUGCGCUCGAAACUGUCCGGCUUGAGUGCAGGAGAGGAAAGCGGAAUUCCCAGUGUAGCGGUGAAAUGCGUUGAUAUUGGGAAGAACACCGGUGGCGGAGGCGGCUUUCUGGCCUGCAACUGACGCUGAGAUACGAAAGCCAGGGGAGCGAACGGGAUUAGAUACCCCGGUAGUCCUGGCCGUAAACGAUGGGCACUAGGUGUAGGGGGUGUCGAUCCCCUCUGUGCCGCAGCUAACGCAUUAAGUGCCCCGCCUGGGGAGUACGGUCGCAAGGCUGAAACUUAAAUGAAUUGACGGGG
rnacentral:rRNA from 1 species